AAUGAACGCUGGCGGCAUGCCUAACACAUGCAAGUCGAACGAGACCUUCGGGUCUAGUGGCGCACGGGUGCGUAACGCGUGGGAACCUGCCCUUAGGUUCGGAAUAACUCCCCGAAAGGGGUGCUAAUACCGGAUAAUGUCUUCGGACCAAAGAUUUAUCGCCUUUGGAUGGGCCCGCGUUGGAUUAGCUAGUUGGUAGGGUAAAAGCCUACCAAGGCGACGAUCCAUAGCUGGUCUGAGAGGAUGAUCAGCCACACUGGGACUGAGACACGGCCCAGACUCCUACGGGAGGCAGCAGUGGGGAAUAUUGGACAAUGGGCGAAAGCCUGAUCCAGCAAUGCCGCGUGAGUGAUGAAGGCCUUAGGGUUGUAAAGCUCUUUUACCCAGGAUGAUAAUGACAGUACCGGGAGAAUAAGCUCCGGCUAACUCCGUG
rnacentral:rRNA from 1 species